GCGGGCGGAUCGUGGUGGCUGCGCUUGCGAGGACCCUGAGGUAGAUUGGGUGGUUUCAACAGGAACGCAUCCACUGUCUGAGAGGUGGCAAUUGAAGCCGGAAGAACAUCUACCAAGAGCAGAGAACCCAGGAAGAAAAUUCUGCCUCUUUAAUACGUUCCAAUAUGGACGUUUUCCAUAUAGAUACCUAUCUAUAUAGAUAGAUGCUCUGGGAUCUGACGGUCCUGGACACCUGUAUGGCUGUGUGCUGUGGUCUUUGCCUAGCCUGCGGUUCACUUUUGCUCUGGCCACCACCUCCCCUCAUGUACAAACCGCGUCUCUGCUCUGCCAGUCUUGGCCCCCGUCAGGCAGCGGUUCACUCCCUCACCAGGGAAGUCUAGAUAGAUAGAUAUAGAUAGAUAUCGAUCGAUAGAUAUAGAUAUAUAUAUAGAUAGAUAGAUAGGUAGAUAUAUGGAUAGAUAUAGAUAUUUGGAUAGAUAUGUAGACGUCUAUCUAUAAAUAUAUCGAUAUAUCGGGGUUCUCAGCCAUCCCAAAGAAGCUUGCACAGGGCCAGUUGCUUUAUGUCAGGAAAAGGGACACAGACUGAGUGUAUGAGGGUUUUUUUUUUCUAUAGAUGUAUAGAUAUUUAUAUCAGAUGCAAAUAAGUGAAACUCUCAUACAACUUUUAAUUUUGUGUUUUUUCCAAACUCUAUUCCAUUCAACUUUUUCUGCCUUUUUAUUUGAUUAUAAUGAGACAUCGUACUGGAGGCAGGCUUGAAAUGGAUAUACAGAGCACUUUCAACCCAGAAAUUUGUCUCACGACUUGGGGUCCUUACUUAAGUUGUAGCUGUUAGUAAUUUCAUCCAUGAAUUCACUUUGUGCCAUAGUGUGAUGUUUUGUUAUGAAGUUGGAAUUGGGAAGGGAAACUAGGAAGUUUUGGGAGAAGUUAAGAAGGUUGAGUAGGCAGGCGUUGUUAUAGAUAUUAAAUUUCACCCUGCUUAUCAAAGUACCUGGAGCGUAUGGUAUCCAAGCUGUAAAUGGCCCAAAGGAAUCGGGGUUCUCAGCCAUCCAAAAGAAGCAUGCACAGGGCCAGUUAUUUUAUGUCAGGAAAGGGGACACAGACUGAGUGUAUGAGGGUUUUUUUUUUUGUUUUUUUUUUUUAGUUUAAACUUGAUUUUGUGAGGGGACGAACAGCGUGACAAUUAAAAGAAGAUCUGGGAAUCAAAAGCUUCCUGAGGCCUUCACCAGAAGCAGAUGCUGGUGCCGUGCUUCUACAGCCUGCAGAACUGGAAUGUGUUCCAAGACCCCCAGUGGAUGCCUGAAACUGAGAAUAGUACUGGACCCUGUAUAUACUGUGUUUUUUCUUUCCUUAUUGAGAACUUUUAUGUUUUCACUUAAAGGAAGGACUUUACAGCUUCUCUUUCGCAUAUCCAAAUUGCCAGCAUCACCGCUCUUGCACUCCAAGCCAUUAUUAAGUAAAGUAAAGAACACAAACACUGUGAUACUGCUACACUUGAUCUGAUAACCAAGAAGUCUACUAAGUGACUAACAGGUGGGUAGCAUAUACAGCAUAGAUACACUGGACAAAGGGAGGACUCACAUCCUGGGCAAGAUGGAGCAGAAUGGCAGAGUUCAUCAUGCUGCUCAAAAUGAUGUGCAAUUUAAAACUAAUGAAUUAUUUCUGGAAUUUUUCAGUUAAUAUUUUUGGACAUGAGGUGACUGCAGUUAACUAAAACCAUGGAAAGCAAACCCAUAGAUAAAGGGAUACUAUGGUAUGUUUUCAUUUUCUAUAAUAAAAAGUUAAAAAGGAAAAAGACACCAUAGGAAAAUAAAAGACAAGUCACAAACUGGGAAAAGAUCUUUGCAACACAUGUGACUAUCGAAAGGAUUAGUAUUCACACUGUGUAAAGAACCACUACAAUUCAAUGAAAAUGAAGAUAAUGCUUUCCACCCCAAACAGGCAAUUCAUACAGGAGAAAACCUGAAAAGAUACCCAACCACAAGGAAAUACCAUUUCACACCCACCAGAUGAACAAAAAUGUAAAAGUCUGGCAAUAUUACAAUUCUUAUACAUUGCUGGUUGGAGUAUGAAUUGAUAUAAUCAAUUUGGGAAACAAUAUGGUAUUAUCUAGUAGCUGAAGAUGCACAUCUUCUGUGACCCAGGAAAAAUGUAUAGCAGGAGACAUGAGCAAGAAAAUUCAUAAUGGCAUUUAUAACAGUAAAACGUGGAAGAAAAUCCACUGUCCAUCAACAGUAGAGUGAUUAAAUACAUUGUAUAUGCUCAUACAGCAGAAUAUAGUGGUGGAAAAAAUAAAUUACAAGUUCAUGGACAUAGAUAAAUCUCUAACAAAAUGUUGAGCAAAUAAAAAUUCACAAAAGAAUUUUACAGUAGGAUUCCAUUUAUAUAAAGAACCAAUGAAAGUAAAUAGCCUAAGGGUACAAACAUAAGUAAAUCUAUAAAUUAAAGCAAAAGAAUGAUAAGCACAAAUUCAAGGCAGUGAUUUCCUCUAGCUACAGAGGGAAGGGAAUGAAGUAAGGAAAAGGUGAACAAGGAGCUUAAAAGUAUGAUAAUUAUAUGUGUUGGUUUGGCCAAACAGUCCUGGUUUACCUAGCACAGUUCUGGUUUGCUGAUUGCCUGGUGUAAUGAUUAAUAGCACUGUCACUCCCCAAAUUGUCAUUGUUUGGAUAAUGAAUUAUAUGCAUCCUUUUUAGAGUAAAAGUAACUUUUUUCUCCUUAAACUGGAUGGAGGGCAUGUGGGUCUUUAUCAUUCUUCCUUAUACAUGUAUUUUUAAAAUAUAAUUUAAAACUAGUCAGUAUUUUAAAAUAUAAUUUAAAACUUUAGUCAGUGUUAGUCACUGUGUUAGUGACAACACAGUAAAAAAAAAAAAUUUGUAAGAUAAAUAAAUAUAAAUAGGAUCCAAAUGAAACUCUUUUCAUCUGGGUGGAUACAGGGAUAAAUAACAUACUAUAUGCCUGGCAUUGUAUUAAGCUUGUUACUGAUAUUACUUCAUAUUCAUAGCAAGACAUUUAGGUAGGCAUUAUUAUCUCCAUUUUACACAUGAAGAAUCUAAGACACAAAGACUAUACAUAAUUUAACCAAAGUCAUAUUAUAUGUGACAGCGCAGAAUUUGAACCCAAGCAGUGUGACAUCAGACUACAUGCUCUUAACUACCAUGCCAGAGCCCAUAACAGAUUUUCUUAACCUUUUUUAUGCCACAGAUCCCUUUGACAGUCUGGUGAAGCCUAUAGAGUCCUUUUUAGAGUAAUGUCUUUUGUACAUCAAAUAUAAUGCACAGGAUUAUAAAUAAAAUCAAUUAUACUAAAAUAUGGUAAUCAAAAUAUUUAACAAAUGUAUACUAUACCUGUACUUUUUAUUAAUGCAUUAAAUAAAUAAUAAAAUCUAGCAGGUCUAAUGAAUAAUUUUGAAAUAAUAAUAAUAAUUGUAUCUUGAGAUAUCUACAAAUAUAGUAAUGUGAUAGGAAAAUGUUUGUGAUUUUGAUAAGUGAAAAAGUCACCAAAAUACUUGUAAUAACACUGUGGUUUUUUGCAUAUGUUCACAAUGGAAAGAAAUCCUAAAUCUUACUUCGAAGUUAGCAAGAAUUACAAUAUUUUUCCCACCCCAAUUCAUGGCCCUCUACUUUAUGGUCUUAUUUCAUAGGCUUUCUGACAUGUUUUGCUUCAAAGAGGUCCUAUUCCCCAUCCCAUUUCCUAUCUUCUGGUUUGGGAUUACACUCAAGAUGUGAUAUACAGAUAGAUUAGUUUAUUAGAAAGAAAAUAUUUUUCCACAUGGCGAACUUUAGUGGAGGCUAACAAAUCAGAAUGUGCUAAAAUAGCCAUGUGUACAUAUAGACAAUGGGAAGCUUGGAACUGCUUUAGCAUUUUAUACAAAAGACUUAAAAGUAAUUUCAGCUGGGCACUGUGGCUCGGGCCUGUAAUCCCAGCACUUUGGGAGGCUAAAGUGAGAGGAUUGCUUGAGGCCAGGAGUUCAAGACCAGCCUGGGCAACAUAGUGAGACCCUCCCCCCAUCUGUACAAAAAAAUUACAAAAUUAACCAGGCAUUGUGGCUCGCACCUGUGGUACCAGCUACUUGGAAGGCUGAGACAGGAGGAUGGCUUGAGCCUGGGAGGUUGAGGCUUUAAUGAGCCAUGAUCAUGCCACUGCACUCCAGCUUGGGCAACAGAGUGAGACCCUGUUUCCAAAAACAACAAAAACUGGUUUCAAAUAUAUUGCUACAUUGGAAUUCUCCAUAAAGGAAUUAAUUGUUGAUAACAAUGCCCUCAGUAUACUAUUUGUCAAUACCUAUAACAAUGCAACAAACAAAAAAGAAAAUUUAAAUAGCUGGACCACAUUAAAAGUUUUAUUGGGCUAAAAUCAAAAACAUCUGACAAGUUUUUGACUUGUCUUUCUCAUGAUUUAAUGUCCCAGCAGAGCAACUGGGAACCUAAUUCUGACCAAAAAGGAGGAAUUGUUUGGCUAAUUGGAAGUGACAGAAACCUUGGGAGAAAGCAACCGCAUACCAAGGAUAAUUAUAAGAAGGUAACAUGGGCCCUAAAGGAUAGUGUCAAGAAACCUGAAACCCCCAAAUGAGGUGAGACUUGCAAAAAAUGCUAAGGAAGGACAAAAAACAGGCCUUUUAAAAUUCUGUUCAGAACCAGAAGAUGAUCAAGAAAGGGAAAUGCCCACUAGCAGCUUCUACUGUAAGGUUAGAGCUGACAGAGAAAGAACUCCUUAACUACUAUUUGCUUCAUUCUCUACAAAGGAAACUAGAGAAGUGGGUUGAUGUAAUAGAAAGAACAUGUGUUUGUGGGGCCAGGCAAACCUGGGUUUAAUUCUGUUUCAACACUGCUUAACAAAAUUUAUGGGAGGCUAUUGUUUUGGAUUGGGCUCCUGCACCAGGCCCCUCCGGACCAAACCAAAAUGGAGUCACUCAUACUAAAACUCCAGGUCACUGAACCAAAACUAAGUUGUUUAUCUGACCUUCCAAGAAAUCAGGAGGGAGAAAACAACCAAAUCUCCAAACAGGCCAGUUUUAAUCAGCGUGAUAAGGAAGUCCUCUCUUUUUUAACCCUAUAAAGAAAGUAACUUUUUGAAAUGAUCAAUACACUUUGUAUUCCUUAGUUCUGCUUUCUUUAGCCCCUUUCUGCCUAUAAAGCCCACUUCCUCUGCUCAACUUACUGAAGCAGUAUUCCAUUUUAUAGAAUGAGAUGCUGCCCAAUUCUGGAAUCACUAAUAAAAGCCAAUUAGAUCUUUACAUUUGUUGAAAUUUUGUCUUUGACAACAUUACUAGUUAUAUUAUUCUGGGUAUCCUUUUCCCCAUCUGUAAAAUGGACAUAGCGAUAUCCUUCCCAUCAGAUUUUUCUCAUUAAUAGAAGUAAUACAUUCAAAACACUGAGCCAGGCUCACACCAGUGAGCAACUUGUUAAUAUUACUCAGAAGCAUAUUAUAGAUAUUGACAGAAAGCAAUACUGUUCCUAAUUAGGGGAAGAAAUUCUAAGAGAGUACCUAAGAGUUUGAAUUUAGAUUAUAACAUUUGCUCUGAGUAUUUUACAUUACAGCCUUUGGGGGGAAAAGUACAAAUGAGAUCUGAGAACAGUGGUACUCAUCUUUGAGGAAUUAUGGAAAACGUAAUAGAACACUAAACAUGGGAAAACAUCGGCCUUCA
ensembl:lncRNA TMEM161B-DT TMEM161B divergent transcript